rnacentral:lncRNA from 1 species
UCCCAAGUUUCUAUAGACUCUUGUCUCCUAUGCUCAGCUAGAUGCUCUAAAUUAUGUCAAUAUAACUUAGAUUGACUGAUUAACUUUAUUUUAGCAAACUUAAUUUUUUGGACUUCGGACAUGUCAUAUCACUCGAAGAAGUGGUCUAUAUCUACCUCCCAGUCUAAAUACUCCUUAAAGUCAAGCGAACCAUCAAAGCUGGGUGCUUCUACCUU